ensembl:miRNA Mir6962 microRNA 6962
UGGAAAAGGACCUGGUGGGAGAUCUCACAUCACUGUUGAUACCUGCCCUUCGCUGUCCUAUAG